CUACGGGGCGCAGCAGUGGGGAAUAUUGGGCAAUGGGCGCAAGCCUGACCCAGCAACGCCGCGUGAGGGAAGAAGGUUUUCGGAUUGUAAACCUCUGUCCUUGGGGACGAAGAAGUGACGGUACCCAAGGGGGAAGCUCCGGCUAACUACGUGCCAGCAGCCGCGGUAAUACGUAGGGAGCAAGCGUUGUCCGGAAUUACUGGGCGUAAAGGGUGCGUAGGCGGCAUAUUAAGUCAGGUGUGAAAUACUCGGGCUCAACCCGGGGGCUGCAUUUGAAACUGAUAUGCUUGAGUGUGAGAGAGGAAAGUGGAAUUCCUAGUGUAGCGGUGGAAUGCGUAGAUAUUAGGAGGAACACCAGUGGCGAAGGCGACUUUCUGGCUCAUAACUGACGCUGAGGCACGAAAGCGUGGGGAGCAAACAGGAUUAGAUACCCCAGUAGUC
rnacentral:rRNA from 1 species